UGUUGAAAAAGGUCGGGAUGAGUUGUGCCUAGGGGUGAAAGGCCAAUCAAACUCGGAGAUAGCUGGUUCUCUGCGAAAUCUAUUUAGGUAGAGCGUCAUCCGAAUACCCUCGGGGGUAGAGCACUGGAUGGGUAAUGGGGCCCCACAGGCUUACUGAUCCUAACCAAACUCCGAAUACCGAGGAGUACUAGAUGGCAGACACACGGCGAAUGCUAACGUCCGUCGUGAAGAGGGAAACAACCCAGACCGCCAGCUAAGGUCCCAAAAUUACAGUUAAGUGGGAAACGAUGUGGGAAGGCAUAGACAGCUAGGAGGUUGGCUUAGAAGCAGCCACCCUUUAAAGAAAGCGUAAUAGCUCAC
rnacentral:rRNA from 14 species